GGGAUCCAGUACGCUUUUGGAUGGCAGUUUAGCCGACAGCAAAUUAUGGCUUAGAGCUUCCUCCUCGCCUUUUGAGAGCAAGGUUUCAGAGCAGCACAGCAGAGCUGGUUCCCCAGGAACAUCAGUGGAGCAUCUGGUGACAGCAUGGAUUGUUCACUCUGUCUUUUAAUCAUUGUGUUUGGAUUCUGAUAUUAAUAAAAGGACAGAAUAGAAGUAUUUGCUCCAAUACACUACAUGGGAAGCAACCUGGAGAUUAUCAAUCCUGAUCAUGGUCACCUGGAAGAUCAUCAGAACCUGAGGACAAAUGCAGGAUUCAAGUCUCAGAGGCCUCUCCUGCCAAUGAGGUUGAAAACAAUGAUCCACAGAAGGAAUCCCAGGCAGAAGAGGAAGCACUGUCCUCUGCUGCAGAUGGGAAAGAAUAGAACAAUUCACAGCAGGAAACACUGGCAGGAGGCAUUCAAGGCCAAUCUUUCCCUACUGCUGAAAAGCCACAAUGACCAGAACAGCAAGGAGGCUCCCAGCCUAACUAUCCUCAUCCUGAGAUUUACUAUAGACCGGCUCUUGUGCUUUUGCACAGCCAGAGAAGGAAGCUUCCCUCUACUUUCCUUCAAAAUCAAGGAUCACCCUUUUAUAGAGGACAGGAAGUGAGAAUCUAAUCAUCUUUGUAGAGGCAGUCUGAAGACUUGUUUAGAUGUGAUGCUUUUGAUACUAAUCAUCCCAGUAAUCCAGAUAUCAAUGACGAGUGUGUGUUCAGGGGAAGAAUGGUAUUAGAGAGAAUGGAGGAAGAUAGUGUCAGAGAUGCAUAUGAGAAAAGAAUAGUGAAAUAUUUCACAAUACAAGCCAUUUCUUUGUAUGAUAAUAGUACUAAAAGUGUUAAAAUUAUACUAUUUUGAGAAAAAUGGCUAUAACUGGGCAUCACCAUCUUAAGCUUAGUAAUUUAGCCCUACAGCAGUGCACAUCAGGGGAACUCAGUGUGUUUUAAGAAUGAGGAUAUGGAAAUACAAAAAAAGUAUCAGUAUCAGUUGACUGGAUAGCUAAGAAAUUAGAGAGGAGGAAAAAAAA